UCUUGAAGUCAGUGAGACCAAGAACCCAUCAAUUCCGGAGACAAUGGUGGUUGUGGCUCAGUUAGUGAGAGGCAGCAUGAUUUCAGAUAUAUUCUGGAAGUAGAACCAGAAGAAAUUUUACAUGUAUAGGAUGUAGAAGGGGAAAGAAAAAGAGAAGUGAAGGACACCAAGUUCUUGGCCUUGGCCUUUGGUGUGGAGAAUAGGCUGAAAAGUCAAGGUGAGGCUUAGAAGAACCGGUAGGCACACUAGUGCACCAGUCCCUCUAAAUGGUGGCAAGAACCAUAACCAAGGCCAUGGUAGUAGAAGUAGGGAACAGGACAGUUUUAAGCUUUAUUUUGGGGAGUAGAAAAAUGUUAAAAAAAACUGGCAAAUGUUAACAGCAGUAAUAAACAUUAUUGAGC
rnacentral:lncRNA from 10 species